UGCAGUCGACGAUGACGCCGAGCUUGCUGGGUGGAUUAGUGGCGAACGGGUGAGUAACACGUGAGUAACCUGCCCUUAACUCUGGGAUAAGCCUGGGAAACUGGGUCUAAUACCGGAUAGGAGCGUCCACCGCAUGGUGGGUGUUGGAAAGAUUUAUCGGUUUUGGAUGGACUCGCGGCCUAUCAGCUUGUUGGUGAGGUAAUGGCUCACCAAGGCGACGACGGGUAGCCGGCCUGAGAGGGUGACCGGCCACACUGGGACUGAGACACGGCCCAGACUCCUACGGGAGGCAGCAGUGGGGAAUAUUGCACAAUGGGCGCAAGCCUGAUGCAGCGACGCCGCGUGAGGGAUGACGGCCUUCGGGUUGUAAACCUCUUUCAGUAGGGAAGAAGCGAAAGUGACGGUACCUGCAGAAGAAGCACCGGCUAACUACGUGCCAGCAGCCGCGGUAAUACGUAGGGUGCGAGCGUUAUCCGGAAUUAUUGGGCGUAAAGAGCUCGUAGGCGGUUUGUCGCGUCUGUCGUGAAAGUCCGGGGCUUAACCCCGGAUCUGCGGUGGGUACGGGCAGACUAGAGUGCAGUAGGGGAGACUGGAAUUCCUGGUGUAGCGGUGGAAUGCGCAGAUAUCAGGAGGAACACCGAUGGCGAAGCAGGUCUCUGGGCUGUAACUGACGCUGAGGAGCGAAAGCAUGGGGAGCGAACAGGAUUAGAUACCCUGGUAGUCCAUGCCGUAAACGUUGGGCACUAGGUGUGGGGACCAUUCCACGGUUUCCGCGCCGCAGCUAACGCAUUAAGUGCCCCGCCUGGGGAGUACGGGCCGCAAGGCUAAAACUCAAAGGAAUUGACGGGGGGCCC
rnacentral:rRNA from 1 species